rnacentral:rRNA from 1 species
UACGUAGGGUGCAAGCGUUGUCCGGAAUUAUUGGGCGUAAAGAGCUCGUAGGCGGCUUGUCACGUCGGGUGUGAAAGCCCGGGGCUUAACCCCGGGUCUGCAUUCGAUACGGGCUAGCUAGAGUGUGGUAGGGGAGAUCGGAAUUCCUGGUGUAGCGGUGAAAUGCGCAGAUAUCAGGAGGAACACCGGUGGCGAAGGCGGUUCUCUGGGCCUUACCUGACGCUGAGGAGCGAAAGCGUGGGGAGCAAACAGG